UUUGACGAGGACUGGACUAGUGUCAAGUAAUGCUAGAGGGUCGUGCUCAUUAGUAGCAUUCCCCAACACGUGGAAUGCUGCUUAUAAAUAUGAUCCUCUAGUAAGACUUGACACUAGUCGAGUUUCUCGUCAAA
rnacentral:pre_miRNA from 1 species